rnacentral:misc_RNA from 1 species
ACGAGUUAGGGUCUUCCAGGCCCGACCUCCCAACCCUAUGUUUAUUGAACCUCUGUUGCUUCGGCGGGCCCGUCUCACGGCCGCCGGAGGACCGCCGCGAGGCGUCCUCUGGCCAGCGUCCGCCGAUAGCCAACCUCUCAAACUCUGAAUGAAUCGUGUCAUGUCUAAGUCUAUGAUUAAAUUAAAGCA